rnacentral:rRNA from 1 species
UAGGUUCUUCCAGGUGCGAGGGCAUAUAGUCCUCGCUUUUGCCGUCCGUAGGGAGGUUGAGGAACAAGUGCUGGGCAAGACCGGUGCCAGCCGCCGCGGUAAUAACGGCAGCACAAGUGAUGACCGCUGUUAUUGGGCCUAAAGCGUCCGUAGCUGGCCAGACAAGUUCAUCGGGAAAUCUGUGCGCCUAACGCACAGGCGUCCGGUGGAAACUGCCUGGCUUGGGACCGGAAGACCAGAGGGGUACGUCUGGGGUAGGAGUGAAAUCCCGUAAUCCUGGACGGACCACCGGUGGCGAAAGCGCCUCUGGAAGACGGAUCCGACGGUGAGGGACGAAAGCUCGGGUCACGAACCGGAUUAGAUACCCGGGUAGUCCGAGCUGUAAACGAUGUCUGCUAGGUGUGACACAGGCUACGAGCCUGUGUUGUGCCGUAGGGAAGCCGUGAAGCAGACCGCCUGGGAAGUACGUCCGCAAGGAUGAAACUUAAAGGAAUUGGCGGGGGAGCACUACAACCGGAGGAGCCUGCGGUUUAAUUGGACUCAACGCCGGACAUCUCACCAGCAUCGACAGUGUGCAGUGACAGUCAGUGUGAUGAGCUUACUUGAGCCACUGAGAGGAGGUGCAUGGCCGCCGUCAGCUCGUACCGUGAGGCGUCCUGUUAAGUCAGGCAACGAGCGAGACCCGCACCCUUAAUUGCCAGCAACACCCUUGUGGUGGUUGGGUACAUUAAGAGGACUGCCAGUGCCAAACUGGAGGAAGGAACGGGCAACGGUAGGUCAGUAUGCCCCGAAUGUGCUGGGCGACACGCGGGCUACAAUGGUCGAGACAGUGGGAUGCAACGCCGAAAGGCGACGCUAAUCUCCGAAACUCGAUCGUAGUUCGGAUUGAGGGCUGAAACUCGCCCUCAUGAAGCUGGAUUCGGUAGUAAUCGCGCCUCAGAAGGGCGCGGUGAAUACGUCCCUGCUCCUUGCACACACCGCCCGUCAAAGCACCCGAGUGGGGUCCGGAUGAGGCCCGGUUUCCGGGUCGAAUCUG